GGAACAGCAGCGCUCGGCUCUGCAUCACGGUGCCCAUGCCUUUAGACAAUGCCACCAUCACCCCCAGUGUCCUGGAGGUGACACCGCUGGAGACAGGGACACACAGCGACACAGUGGCCGCAGGCGUCAGUGGG